rnacentral:rRNA from 1 species
AUUGAACGCUGGCGGCAGGCCUAACACAUGCAAGUCGAGCGGAGCGGCGGACGGGUGAGUAAUGCUUAGGAAUCUGUCUGGUAGUGGGGGAUAACGUCCGGAAACGGGCGCUAAUCCCUCAUACUAUCAGAUGAGCCUAGGUCGGAUUAGCUAGUUGGUGGGGGAAAGGCCUACCAAGGCGACGAUCCGUAACUGGUCUUAGAGGAUGACCAGCCACACUGGAACGGAGACACGGUCCAGACUCCUACGGGAGGCAGCAGUGGGGAAUAUUGCACAAUGGGCGCAAGCCUGAUGCAGCCAUGCCGCGUGUAUGAAGAAGGCAUUCGGGUUGUAAAGUACUUUCAGCGGGGAGGCGUUACCCGCAGAAGAAGCACCGGCUAACUCCGUGCCAGCCGCCGCGGUAAUUC